CUCAAUGCACCAUGGUCCUAAUUUAAGAUUCUUGACAUGGCCUGGGCAACACUCUGAAGUUCCUUAAAAAAAACUAAGACUCCUUCCUCUUCAAUUGGUCUCCGUCUUCAAAAUCAAAAUCAAAACAAAGGACCUUAUUGAUAAAUGAAUCCACACUCCUCAAGUAUAUCCCAAAAUGUUGCAAAGUUUGAAUAUUCGGGGCUAACAAUAUUUCAACACAUACAUCACAUUCAUCAUUUUUUGAGUUUUCUAUGGUCAAAUUUCUCAACUUCACGCUGUUAAUUUUGAG
rnacentral:lncRNA from 1 species